rnacentral:sRNA from 1 species
GCCCAAAGUCGCACGUGCCCAUGGGUGUCCGCCGAACCCUCGAACUGGGAGAAAUCCCUAAGGUGAGGAAAUCGGUAAGGUACCUGGAAUUAACCCCUCCAGUCGCUAUCCCGGCCAACCGGGAAAUGCGAGGACAUCUGAAGCAACGACGGUGCGGGCCUUU